AGGACGUCCAUGAUUUCUGACCUAACACAAAAAAAAAGACCAUUAUAGGGUGUAAUUUGGCAAAACUAGGGAUGAAAAUAACAAAGCCCACAUUACUAAUAUCAGUUUUCUGGUUUUUCAUCUGAAAAAUUUGCACUUCGUGCAUUUUGCUGAACUGAACUUCAUCAUGCCGCGGGAACCGAAGAGCCUCGGCGUGAAGAUCCUAUGGAUUUGGACCUUUGGAACCGCUGCUAUUCUUGUUACGAACGUGAUGCGCACAAGAAUAAGGGAAAUGGAAACACUCAUGAACGCCGAACAACAACAGCACGAUGUCGCAACCACUGACUCGUCUUUUAUUUCAGACAAUAAAGAUUGAUUUGCAUUUAGUUUUUUUUUUAUUUCCGUUUCGGUCCUGGAGUUUGUGAUGCUUUGUAAACUCGUGGAAUGCAAAGGGCACGCAACGUGUUUGUUGAAUGUCCUGACUGAAAAAUAAGGCUGGGACAACCAGCGGAAUAUGGAAACCCAUUUGCGAUUAUGAGAUUUUUAAUAUUUUAUCUCAUCAUUUUGGUGUGUUAUAAUUCGGAUU